GGUUAAGCGACUAAGCGUACACGGUGGAUGCCCUGGCAGUCAGAGGCGAUGAAGGACGUGCUAAUCUGCGAAAAGCGUCGGUAAGGUGAUAUGAACCGUUAUAACCGGCGAUGUCCGAAUGGGGAAACCCAGUGCAAUUCGUUGCACUAUCGUUAACUGAAUACAUAGGUUAACGAGGCGAACCGGGGGAACUGAAACAUCUAAGUACCCCGAGGAAAAGAAAUCAACCGAGAUUCCCCCAGUAGCGGCGAGCGAACGGGGAGCAGCCCAGAGUCUGAAUCAGCUUGUGUGUUAGUGGAACGGUCUGGAAAGUCCGACGGUACAGGGUGAUAGUCCCGUACACCAAAAUGCACAGGCUGUGAACUCGAAGAGUAGGGCGGGACACGUGGUAUCCUGUCUGAAUAUGGGGGGACCAUCCUCCAAGGCUAAAUACUCCUGACUGACCGAUAGUGAACCAGUACCGUGAGGGAAAGGCGAAAAGAACCCCGGCGAGGGGAGUGAAAAAGAACCUGAAACCGUGUACGUACAAGCAGUGGGAGCACCUUCGGGUGUGACUGCGUACCUUUUGUAUAAUGGGUCAGCGACUUAUAUUCUGUAGCAAGGUUAACCGUAUAGGGGAGCCGCAGGGAAACCGAGUCUUAACUGGGCGUUAAGUUGCAGGGUAUAGACCCGAAACCCGGUGAUCUAGCCAUGGGCAGGUUGAAGGUUGGGUAACACUAACUGGAGGACCGAACCGACUAAUGUUGAAAAAUUAGCGGAUGACUUGUGGCUGGGGGUGAAAGGCCAAUCAAACCGGGAGAUAGCUGGUUCUCCCCGAAAGCUAUUUAGGUAGCGCCUCGUGAAUUCAUCUUCGGGGGUAGAGCACUGUUUCGGCUAGGGGGUCAUCCCGACUUACCAACCCGAUGCAAACUACGAAUACCGAAGAAUGUUAUCACGGGAGACACACGGCGGGUGCUAACGUCCGUCGUGAAGAGGGAAACAACCCAGACCGCCAGCUAAGGUCCCAAAGUCAUGGUUAAGUGGGAAACGAUGUGGGAAGGCACAGACAGCCAGGAUGUUGGCUUAGAAGCAGCCAUCAUUUAAAGAAAGCGUAAUAGCUCACUGGUCGAGUCGGCCUGCGCGGAAGAUGUAACGGGGCUAAACCAUGCACCGAAGCUGCGGCAGCGACACUAUGUGUUGUUGGGUAGGGGAGCGUUCUGUAAGCCUGCGAAGGUGUGCUGUGAGGCAUGCUGGAGGUAUCAGAAGUGCGAAUGCUGACAUAAGUAACGAUAAAGCGGGUGAAAAGCCCGCUCGCCGGAAGACCAAGGGUUCCUGUCCAACGUUAAUCGGGGCAGGGUGAGUCGACCCCUAAGGCGAGGCCGAAAGGCGUAGUCGAUGGGAAACAGGUUAAUAUUCCUGUACUUGGUGUUACUGCGAAGGGGGGACGGAGAAGGCUAUGUUAGCCGGGCGACGGUUGUCCCGGUUUAAGCAUGUAGGCUGAUUAUCCAGGCAAAUCCGGAUAAUCAAGGCUGAGGUGUGAUGACGAGGCACUACGGUGCUGAAGUAACAAAUGCCCUGCUUCCAGGAAAAGCCUCUAAGCAUCAGGUAACAUCAAAUCGUACCCCAAACCGACACAGGUGGUCAGGUAGAGAAUACCAAGGCGCUUGAGAGAACUCGGGUGAAGGAACUAGGCAAAAUGGUGCCGUAACUUCGGGAGAAGGCACGCUGGUGUGUAGGUGAAGCCCCUGCGGGUGGAGCUGAGACCAGUCGAAGAUACCAGCUGGCUGCAACUGUUUAUUAAAAACACAGCACUGUGCAAACACGAAAGUGGACGUAUACGGUGUGACGCCUGCCCGGUGCCGGAAGGUUAAUUGAUGGGGUUAUCCGUAAGGAGAAGCUCUUGAUCGAAGCCCCGGUAAACGGCGGCCGUAACUAUAACGGUCCUAAGGUAGCGAAAUUCCUUGUCGGGUAAGUUCCGACCUGCACGAAUGGCGUAAUGAUGGCCAGGCUGUCUCCACCCGAGACUCAGUGAAAUUGAACUCGCUGUGAAGAUGCAGUGUACCCGCGGCAAGACGGAAAGACCCCGUGAACCUUUACUAUAGCUUGACACUGAACAUUGAGCCUUGAUGUGUAGGAUAGGUGGGAGGCUUUGAAGCGUGGACGCCAGUCUGCGUGGAGCCAACCUUGAAAUACCACCCUUUAAUGUUUGAUGUUCUAACGUUGGCCCCUUACCGGGGUUGCGGACAGUGUCUGGUGGGUAGUUUGACUGGGGCGGUCUCCUCCCAAAGCGUAACGGAGGAGCACGAAGGUUAGCUAAUCCUGGUCGGACAUCAGGAGGUUAGUGCAAUGGCAUAAGCUAGCUUGACUGCGAGCGUGACGGCGCGAGCAGGUGCGAAAGCAGGUCAUAGUGAUCCGGUGGUUCUGAAUGGAAGGGCCAUCGCUCAACGGAUAAAAGGUACUCCGGGGAUAACAGGCUGAUACCGCCCAAGAGUUCAUAUCGACGGCGGUGUUUGGCACCUCGAUGUCGGCUCAUCACAUCCUGGGGCUGAAGUAGGUCCCAAGGGUAUGGCUGUUCGCCAUUUAAAGUGGUACGCGAGCUGGGUUUAGAACGUCGUGAGACAGUUCGGUCCCUAUCUGCCGUGGGCGCUGGAGAAUUGAGGGGGCUGCUCCUAGUACGAGAGGACCGGAGUGGACGCAUCACUGGUGUUCGGGUUGUCAUGCCAAUGGCACUGCCCGGUAGCUAAAUGCGGAAGAGAUAAGUGCUGAAAGCAUCUAAGCACGAAACUUGCCCCGAGAUGAGUUCUCCCUGAGACUUUAAGUCUCCUGAAGGAACGUUGAAGACGACGACGUUGAUAGGCCGGGUGUGUAAGCGCAGCGAUGCGUUGAGCUAACCGGUACUAAUGAACCGUGAGGCUUAACCUU
rnacentral:rRNA from 1 species